CGGAGGGUGCAAGCGUUAUCCGGAUUCACUGGGUUUAAAGGGUGCGUAGGCGGAUAAGUGAGUCAGUGGUGAAAUCUCCGGGCUUAACUCGGAAACUGCCGUUGAUACUAUUUAUCUUGAAUAUCAUGGAGGUAAGCGGAAUAUGUCAUGUAGCGGUGAAAUGCUUAGAUAUGACAUAGAACACCGAUAGCGAAGGCAGCUUACUACAUGUUAAUUGACGCUGAGGCACGAAAGCGUGGGGAGCAAACAGGAUUAGAUACCCUGGUAGUCCACGCCCUAAACGAUGGAUACUCGACAUCAGCGAUACACUGUUGGUGUCUGAGCGAAAGCAUUAAGUAUCCCACCUGGGAAGUACGACCGCAAGGUUG
rnacentral:rRNA from 1 species